rnacentral:misc_RNA from 1 species
CUGGGCUGGUGGGAUGAGAUCGACAACUCCGUGGAGUGGCAGCGCGGCAUCUUCUACGGCCUCUGCGCCGCCCACUCCCUCGUCGCCCUCGUCGCGCUGGUACAACUCAUCCGUAUUCAGUUAAGGGUACCGGAUUAUGGUUGGACUACACAGAAGCUUUUUCAUUUGAUGAACUUUGUUGUAAAUGGAUUACGAGCCGUCCUUUUUGGAUUUUACCAUAGUGUAUUUCUUCUCAGACCAAAAGCUCUCGAAUAUGCACUUCUGGAUCUUCCUAGCCUCUUGUUUUUCACAACAUACACUUUGUUAGUGUUAUUCUGGGCAGAGAUAUAUCAUCAGGCUAGAAGCCUUCCAACUGACAAGCUCAGACCUGCAUAUUUGGUUAUCAACGGAGCAGUAUAUAUCAUACAGGUAUGCAUUUGGGUUUAUUUGGAGAUUAGUCCAAAGCCUAUUGCUGUGAAACUUGCUAAGCUUUUCCUAGCAGCUGUCUCAUUCUUCGCGGCCCUAGGAUUCCUGAUAUAUGGUGGAAGGUUGUUCAUUAUGCUUAGGCGCUUCCCAAUUGAAUCCAAGGGUCGUAGGAAAAAGCUGAACGAGG